rnacentral:tRNA from 1 species
GGGCGAUUAGCUCAGUUGGCUAGAGCGCUUGCCUUACAAGCAAGAUGUCACAGGUUCGAGUCCUGUAUCGCCCA